rnacentral:lncRNA from 1 species
AAAUGUCUGCUGAAUAACCUAGACAGCAUAGCAGUGAUGCUGUCAAUCCCAUUAGCCAAGCCAGGCUCCCUCUCCUCAGAGAUACUGGAGCUUCAUCUUUCUACUCAGAUAAGAAUCUCCAGGCACCUUGGGAGGAUGGACAGUCUGGGCUCAUUUGAUGAAGAGUCUGCUGCAAGCUCAUGGGGACUUGACUUCUGAUCCCCAGAAGUCAUGUAAAAGCCAUGCAUGGUGACACGCAUCAGGAGCCUCUGAUCUAGGAAUGCAGAGCUAGGCAGGUCCCUAGGGCUCAUUGGCCACCCAGCCACACAAAAUAAGUCCCCAUUUCAAUGAGAGGCACCAUCUCAAGAAUAAAAAUGAGGGGCAGAGCAGUUGAGAAUGGCUCCCAAAGUCAACCUCUAGCCUAUAACACUAACACACACACACACACACACACACACACACACACACACACACACACCCCACAGAGAGAGGGGUGGUAUGUGUACCUCAUGACACAAGACAGGAUUUAUUCUGGAGCAAACAGAGAACAAAGAAGUACCUGCUGUGCCCCACAGGAUUUGGGGUCCUUCCUUGGGGUUAUAUCACAGGGACCAUCUUGAAGGCGCACUGCCAUCAAAUGAUGGACAGGCUCCUUCCUAAAGACUUCUAUCCAACAGCUUUGUGUCACAGCAAAGCCAAGGUUUAUGCAGAAAGCAACUAGUAGCUUGGUUAGAAAAGCCUCGCCUAUGCUCUUUUCAGACACUUAGGCCAUCUAAAUUCCAGGACCCAAGUACAAUAAAAAUAGCAGAGGUGGGAGCCGUGCCUAUGGGAAGAGAUCAUAUCCUAAACUCAUCAUUAAAUUGCCGGGCAGAGUGGGUGAUGAAAAGCACCAGAAAAUACGAUGCUUUGGUGAAUUGGGGUCUCAUUACUGUUUAAUUGCGUCUCCUGUGAAACAUUUAGAUCUAUGGG